rnacentral:rRNA from 1 species
UACGAAGGGAGCUAGCGUUGUUCGGAAUCACUGGGCGUAAAGCGCGCGUAGGUGGCUUUGCAAGUCAGAGGUGAAAUCCCAGGGCUUAACCCUGGAAUUGCCUUUGAAACUGCUAAGCUUGAGUACUGGAGGGGAUGGUGGAAUUUCUAAUGUAGCGGUGAAAUGCGUAGAUAUUGGGAGGAACACCAAUGGCGAAGGCAGCUCGCUGGAACGGUACUGACGCUGAGGCGCGAAAGCGUGGGGAGCAAACAGGG